rnacentral:rRNA from 1 species
AUUGAACGCUGGCGGCAUGCCUUACACAUGCAAGUCGAACGGUAACAGGUCUUCGGAUGCUGACGAGUGGCGAACGGGUGAGCAAUACAUCGGAACGUGCCCGAUCGUGGGGGAUAACGAAGCGAAAGCUUUGCUAAUACCGCAUAAGAUCUACGGAUGAAAGCAGGGGACCGCAAGGCCUUGCGCGAACGGAGCGGCCGAUGGCAGAUUAGGUAGUUGGUGGGAUAAAAGCUUACCAAGCCGACGAUCUGUAGCUGGUCUGAGAGGACGACCAGCCACACUGGGACUGAGAAACGGCCCAGACGCCUACGGGAGGCAGCAGUGGGGAAUUUUGGACAAUGGGCGAAAGCCUGAUCCAGCCAGGCCGCGUGCAGGAUGAAGGCCUUCGGGUUGUAAACUGCUUUUGUACGGAACGAAAAGACUCUUUCUAAUAAAGAGGGUCCAUGACGGUACCGUAAGAAUAAGCACCGGCUAACUACGUGCCAGCAGCCGCCGUAA